rnacentral:rRNA from 1 species
CAGCAGCCACGGUAAUACGUAGGUGGCAAGCGUUGUCCGGAAUUAUUGGGCGUAAAGGGCUCGCAGGCGGUUUCUUAAGUCUGAUGUGAAAGCCCCCGGCUCAACCGGGGAGGGUCAUUGGAAACUGGGGAACUUGAGUGCAGAAGAGGAGAGUGGAAUUCCACGUGUAGCGGUGAAAUGCGUAGAGAUGUGGAGGAACACCAGUGGCGAAGGCGACUCUCUGGUCUGUAACUGACGCUGAGGAGCGAAAGCGUGGGGAGCGAACAGGAUUAGAUACCCCAGUAGUCCCUGUCUCUUAUAC